GCCACCAUAGCUCAGCUGGUAGAGCAACUGAUUUGUAAUCAGUUGGUCGUUGGUUCGAUUCCGACUGGUGGCU
rnacentral:tRNA from 1 species